AUACCUGCUGAGCACAGCAGGCCUGGCCCGCCAGCCCUCCUCCCGCCUGCCUGCAGCCAAUCGAUGUGGCCUGCCAGCCGCACACCAUUUUGCUGGCCUGGCUUGAUAGAACCCUGCUCAUAUUCUGCCUUCCUCCAGGGACUGAGCUUCCUUUGCAGGGGAGCCUGCUCUGAGGAAGUCAGCCCCUGCCCCAACUCCUGAGAGAAACGCCACUAAACACUCAGCAGAAUCCUGAAAGAACACGUGGAGGAAAAGGAGUCUGCCAUCACCUCUCCAGGAACUCUACCCCCUCUUGGCUCUGGACGAUGCUCUCCAGGGUGCGUCACCAAAGCUGGAAGGUCUUCGUGUCCCCUCCCUGCUCCCACCUCCUUUUUGUGUUUUGUUUCAGACACUCCCUCAGCUCAGAUUUGCUUUGAAGACUCUCCAGAGUGCUUCACCAUUGCCCGGGAGGUUCUAGAGUCCUCAAGAACCACUGUGACAUAUUAGAAAUGGGAACCAGACUCAACUGAGGUCAACAUGGAUAUAUCCUUUUGAGUUCAACCCCUUAGGUCCCAUCUGGCCAUUGUUGUCUAAGCCCUAUCCCUUCCAGCUUCUUUAUCCAACAGAGGAUAGAUCUGCUGGAAAGAGAAUCCCUCAAGUACCAGGCUGUCCAGGCAUCCAUUAGAAUAUGAUUAUUCAGGGUAAAGAAGUUUGUUUCACAGCCUGGUUUAUCAAAUGGCAUGUCAGCUUUGCUGGCAAGACUUCACCAAACAGCUGCCAUGUACAAGCUCACCUGGGGAAGUGGUCCAUGGAAGUGAUGCCAAGGGGAACAGUGUGGACUCUGCAUGUGGCAGGCACUCACUGACAAAUGUCAUUGUGCCUGGGAAUUGGAGACCAUCUCUUAUCAUUCA